GUGCUUGCUUCGGCAGCACCUAUACUAAAAUUGGAAUGAUACAGAGAAGAUUAGCACAGCCCUUGUGCAAGGAUGACACGCAAAUUCGUGAAGUGUUCCAUAUUUUU
rnacentral:snRNA from 1 species